rnacentral:tRNA from 1 species
CAGGGAGACAACAAAAUGUUUAAUAUUAUUAUUUUGUCACCUUAGGUCGAUCGGUAUCUCACGUUCUUAAUUUAUUAAGAAUUUCAUUCUCUAAGUUUUUCUAGGUCACACCCAUUAUUUUUCCUGGGCCAUUAGCUCAGGUGGUUAGAGCGCACCCCUGAUAAGGGUGAGGUCCCUGGUUCAAGUCCAGGAUGGCCCAUAUCUCUAUGUUGGGGGUAUAGCUCAGUUGGUAGAGCGCCUGCUUUGCAAGCAGGAUGUCAGCGGUUCGAGUCCGCUUACCUCCACUGAUUACCACCUCUUCCAUAAUCUGUAGAAAGGAAAAAUUUUGUGUUGUGAUCAUAAUUCUGAAAGAAUCUAGCUUCCUAAUGAAAUCAUUAAGAUGCUGGACUCAUUGAAUUAAUUUCAUUGUUUUCAGAGAACCUUGACAACUGCAUAGAUUAUUUUUAAAGACAAUAAGCAUUUUUAAUAAUGCAGAUUUAUUAUUUGUGCAAAUGCAUUAAUAACAAUUCUAUUAAGCUGAUGCUUCAAUUUUGAGGUUAUU